rnacentral:rRNA from 1 species
UAAUGUCUGGGAAACUGCCUGAUGGAGGGGGAUAACUACUGGAAACGGUAGCUAAUACCGCAUAACGUCGCAAGACCAAAGAGGGGGACCUUCGGGCCUCUUGCCAUCAGAUGUGCCCAGAUGGGAUUAGCUAGUAGGUGGGGUAACGGCUCACCUAGGCGACGAUCCCUAGCUGGUCUGAGAGGAUGACCAGCCACACUGGAACUGAGACACGGUCCAGACUCCUACGGGAGGCAGCAGUGGGGAAUAUUGCACAAUGGGCGCAAGCCUGAUGCAGCCAUGCCGCGUGUAUGAAGAAGGCCUUCGGGUUGUAAAGUACUUUCAGCGGGGAGGAAGGCGAUGUGGUUAAUAACCGCGUCGAUUGACGUUACCCGCAGAAGAAGCACCGGCUAACUCCGUGCCAGCAGCCGCGGUAAUACGGAGGGUGCAAGCGUUAAUCGGAAUUACUGGGCGUAAAGCGCACGCAGGCGGUCUGUCAAGUCGGAUGUGAAAUCCCCGGGCUCAACCUGGGAACUGCAUCCGAAACUGGCAGGCUUGAGUCUCGUAGAGGGGGGUAGAAUUCCAGGUGUAGCGGUGAAAUGCGUAGAGAUCUGGAGGAAUACCGGUGGCGAAGGCGG